AGAACGAACGCUGGCGGCAUGCCUAACACAUGCAAGUCGAACGAGACCUUCGGGUCUAGUGGCGCACGGGUGCGUAACGCGUGGGAAUCUGCCCUUGGGUUCGGAAUAACAGCGAGAAAUUGCUGCUAAUACCGGAUGAUGACGUAAGUCCAAAGAUUUAUCGCCCAAGGAUGAGCCCGCGUAGGAUUAGCUUGUUGGUGAGGUAAGAGCUCACCAAGGCGACGAUCCUUAGCUGGUCUGAGAGGAUGAUCAGCCACACGUGGGACUGAGACACGGCCCAGAC
rnacentral:rRNA from 1 species